GUAAGACUGCAGUGAAGCGAUGUACCAGAUUAAUCCCUGGCCAAAGAACAGUUCUCCACAGUCGCUGUCCACAUGGGUCAGUGGGACCAAGCAGCACUCUGCUAAUGUGUGGACUCUGACCAGCAACAUCCAGCAAGACCCAGGCAGUGUUUUCUAUCUCCCAGCUGGAGUUUUUUUGUUUGUCUGUGACUGGAGAGUCAGAUUUUUGUUGAGGCUGGAGGAACAGCCUCACACUUGCAGAGGUUAAUACACGCUACUGAUCCCUGAUGGGAGAAUCAUCACCUCUGCCAACAAAGAAGCCUG